AUUGAACGCUGGCGGCAUGCUUUACACAUGCAAGUCGAACGGCAGCGCGGGCUUCGGCCUGGCGGCGAGUGGCGAACGGGUGAGUAAUACAUCGGAACGUGCCCAGUAGUGGGGGAUAGCUCGGCGAAAGCCGGAUUAAUACCGCAUACGACCUGAGGGUGAAAGCGGGGGAUCUUCGGACCUCGCGCUAUUGGAGCGGCCGAUGGCAGAUUAGCUAGUUGGUGGGGUAAAGGCCUACCAAGGCGACGAUCUGUAGCUGGUCUGAAAGGACGACCAGCCACACUGGGACUGAGACACGGCCCAGACUCCUACGGGAGGCAGCAGUGGGGAAUUUUGGACAAUGGGCGAAAGCCUGAUCCAGCAAUGCCGCGUGUGUGAUGAAGGCCUUCGGGUUGUAAAGCACUUUUGGCGGGAACGAAAAGGACUGUGCCAAUACCACGGUUCGAUGACGGCACCCGCAGAAUAAGCACCGGCUAACUACGUG
rnacentral:rRNA from 1 species